rnacentral:rRNA from 1 species
UACGAGGCAGCAGUGGGGAAUAUUGCACAAUGGGCGCAAGCCUGAUGCAGCCAUGCCGCGUGUAUGAAGAAGGCCUUCGGGUUGUAAAGUACUUUCAGUCGUGAGGAAGGUGUUAAGGUUAAUAACCUUAGCAAUUGACGUUAGCGACAGAAGAAGCACCGGCUAACUCCGUGCCAGCAGCCGCGGUAAUACGGAGGGUGCGAGCGUUAAUCGGAAUUACUGGGCGUAAAGGGCACGCAGGCGGUUAAUUAAGUUGGAUGUGAAAUCCCCGGGCUUAACCUGGGAAUGGCAUUCAAGACUGGUUAGCUAGAGUCUUGUAGAGGGGGUAGAAUUCCAUGUGUAGCGGUGAAAUGCGUAGAGAUGUGGAGGAAUACCGGUGGCGAAGGCGGCCCCUGGACAAAGACUGACGCUCAUGUGCGAAAGCGUGGGGAGCAAACAGGGAUUAGAUACC